AGGAGCCGUGUGCUGGGAAACUAGCAAGCACGGUUUUGAAUGGGAGGGUGACAGGGCGACCUGUCACUCGACCCUAU
rfam:Phormidesmis priestleyi Ana ITZX_scaf_2261, whole genome shotgun sequence.